AUAUAUAUAUAUAUAUAUAUAAAAGAAGUGGUAGACACUAGGGAUGAGUUUGCCGCUCACAAGACUGGCACGAAAACAUUAAGUGAGGCUUAGGCAUGCCCGCCGAGCAUGUGAUGAUAAUCUAGACGUUGCACGCGCGUGUACGUGCAUGUUCUGAGCAAAGGUGAAAUUCUUGGGUUUUCAGCAUCUCGAGCUUCAGCGUGUUGUAUUAAAGCGUAAAGAUAAAUGCCCCCUUUAAUCACUUAAAGCGUUAUUUUCAGAAUUAUUUAAAAGUGUUUUUUUUUUGAGCUAGCAGCUAUUUAGAACAGGGCUGAGAAGUCAUCCACGAUCGUGGUAGCUGAUGUCCAGGAUAGAUCUGUUCCCGAAUCCGGUGAGCUGCGCUGAGACGGGAACCGGCCCACGGAUCCUAAAUAUCACCAGGCCGCUGCUGGAGCUUGGAUGCAGCUCAAGAACUACUGAGAGAGCUUGGGUAUUUUCCAGAGUAUCUUGGCUCCUGCAGAGACCAGUCCCCAUCAGACUGCUUUUUUAUUUUAAUAUCAAUUUUCAAGAAACUGGAAAUCUGCCUGUUUUCACAAGGCGUUUAUUCCAAAGCGCAGGAAGCAGGUAAAUAUCGAUGUGCUCCCCAGCACCUGAAAUGUGCUGUACUGCCUUCCUCCCCCUGCUCUCCGUACCGACCUCAGCAUCCUCGUAUGCAGACGGGGAAAGCCUCUGGCUUCCCACGGAGGACGGAGCUGCCUGCUGGCCCCGAAAGGCGCCGAAGGGACGCGGGUGCCGGCUGACCACACGUGGAGUGGCUGCAGCCGCCCUGCCCGUGGCCAGCCUCCCUCCUAACCUCAAGUCAUUAUGUUUUCUUGUGGGGCGAGGUGUUAUAAUCACUCGCUCCAGGCUUUUCAGCAUCUCUUCUGCCCAGCAUCUAAUCCGAGGCUCUGCGGUGACAACAAAUUGCAGUGGAUGGCUGGCUGGUCCAGCCCUUUUUUUUCCUAUAGGCAGAAACGUAGGUGAAAUCGGCUUUUACUUUUUGAAGAAAAUCAUUCUGGGAUAAUUUACUAAUAAAUAAUUACCGUGUUUGGCAGUAGGACAGAACUCGAACCCAAAAGUGAUUGUAGCCAUUGUUUUUCACAUUGAGCAGCAUUAAAUCCAAAAUGAGCGAGUUGGAAGCACUCUGAGCCCUGAGCAAAGCCGAGCCAAAAGCCGUGUUUGCAGCCUGCUGUCCAGCCACGACAGACCCGCCGUGCCCCUGCCUUCCUGCCCGGUGGGGCACAUCUGCUGGCGUGGCCCACUGGAAAGGCGAACGGCAGGCGUCUGUGAGUGGGAAGUAAAUGAAGCUGAUGGGCACGGAGCGCUUAUUUGCUCAACAGAUGUGAGUCGAGAAUGCGCGGUAAUCUGGUGAUUUCUGGAGCAUUACCUGCGACUGUUUUCCCGUCCUCGCUGCAAGGUUUCUUUUCAGCAAAUCCACAGCAUUUUGUGGUCUUUGGUAAACAAAUCGUUCUGCUAACCAGAGCAAAGUAGUCGGUGGGUACACAGACAGCUGGCUCCGAAGGAAGUUAAGCGAUGUUCUGCGUGCCGCUAGGGUGGCUGAUUUCCCAAGGACUUGGCUGUAGCUGGAGGAUGAUGCAAGCUGCAUCCUCCUGUCCCUGCUUGCACGGAGAGGCGUUUAGUGCUCAGGAAUGCAUAACUUUAGGUUACGGUUAAGGUCCUGCAGCUUUCCAGGUUGCUCGGGAUUUUUGGGACAUACGGGUGUCCUGUCCAGAGCACUCCCUUAAGGAGUGAAUCGAAAAUGAGAACAAAAGAGAAGAGAUUUGUUUCACUUGAGAAAAGGGAAGUAAUACUUCAAGAAAUAAAGGCCCUCACUCAGCAAAAUUUUGUGCCUAGCUGCUUUGCAGAGAAAGGAGCAGAGCGAGCGUGUUCAGUUAGAUGACUUUCCAAAUGGGAUGUGACUUUCUGAAAUAGUAUCGUGUAUUGGAGUAAGGAAACUUAACUUUCAGCCAGCCACGGGGUUAGGGCUUCUCAAUAACGAGAGAAAGGAGAUGCCAUUUUCUGUAAACGCAUUACAUUUUCCCCACUCAUCUCUCCCACCCCCUCUUGCUGAGGUGUAACCUCGUUUUUUCAGGUGCUGUAGUGCCGCCUCCUUGGAGAGGGUGCAGAUCUGGAGGUAAGCACGUGCUGACCUGAAAGGUGGCACCGUGGGGUGUUUAUGCUGGCUGAGACAGGCUCCUGGUUCAUGAUGCAGUAGAAGAGGCUUCCCAGGGCUCCUGCAGUCCCGUUGGUGGCUGCUAUGGGACCUCCAGCCUUCUCCUGUGGGCGCGCCUGGUCCAGCGGCUGCCUUGCCCCUUGGCAAAGACAUUGUGUUUCCAUCUGCCUUCAAAAUGGGGAAGAAGGCUUUGCUUCCUGUAAGCAUUUUUGGAGGUUACUUUAGAGGGUUUUAGAGAAAGUGCUGCGUAAAACUGAAAUACGGUUCAUUAAUAUUUACCAUGUCCUCUUCUCAGAAAGCUCCUGAAUUGUGACUUCCCAAUGAAAAGGGAUGGUCGUUCGAGGGAGAUGUCAUCUGGGCCGAUGAGCGGCAGUCCCCACAAGAACUUACUUAGGGUUUUUUGGUUUUCAUAGAUGGGGAUGAGUGCCCAUUUGUAACUUAUGAACCUUUUGUCUCUCCUCACCUCACUCAGACCCCCAAACAUCUCUGCUCGUCCUGGUGCCUAUACUGAAGGCUCCCGUGGUGAAGCUGCUCUUACCGCUGUGGACUUUGUUCCCCGUGAUGGUUUCUGGUUCAGAAAUACACGAAAACGGAAUAAUUCCUGGGUUCCUAAGUGAAUUUCCUGUUUGUUCACUUUUUUUCCUCUAAUAUGCUCUUUGUGUUUGUGAAUGAAACAGAAUUAGGGCUAAUUUAGUUGAUUGGCUGCAAAACAAAAGUAUUCAGUGCUAAGAAUGGGAAAUGAGAAGGCCUUUCUGCAGUGUUACUUCUUUGCAUAAUUGUAAUAGAUUAUAAUUAUACAGUUGGGCGUCGAGCAGUGGGUUUGCUGUAAACACGGUCAUGUGAAAUGUCUGGCUGCUCCCUUCUGCCGGUUUGAGGCCUGGUGCGGCCCCGCCGACGGCUGCCCCAGCAUCUCCAGCCGUGUUUUCUCCUCCGGCAGGAUGGCGUGAUAGCGACGGCGCCGCCGUCUUCGCUCCCCUUCCCGGCUCCUCCCACAAAAUUACCGCCGGUCGAUGCGGCCAUGUCAGGCUGUUGACACAAAUCAAUGAGAUCAAUCACUCCUCAGCUCCUAAACAGAGCCGAGAGCUGCGCCGAGCCAUCCCGGCAGCGCUUGCUAAAGGGAAAACGCGUGCUGCGACGGUUUAGGAAUAGACUGGGGGGACCCUGUCCUGCUAAGGAUCAGUUCUCCAAGGUUGCAAAAAGAGCGUGGUGUAUGUCUAUGUGGUAUAAAUGUUUCCUUCUGCUUCUGCAAAAUGCAUCUUUUCCUGCAUUUGCAGCUGGAUGUGUGUGCUGGGAGCGGGCUGGAGAGGUUCCCCUGGCCGUAACAGCGGGCUGCUGCAUCCCUUUAGUGUGCCAGGUUAAUGCAGUGGAGCUCAUUUUCAUUCACGUGGCCAUGGGGCAAGCAUAGUUACAAACCCUGCUUUCCUUCCCUUCCCCUAGAAGAUCUUGACUUCGUCUGAUCUGUUUUUUUGCCCUGCAAAUGAUGGCAGAGUUGUAUCAGAAUACCAGAAUUACUGGUGCAAUGGGGCAGUUCGGUGUGACUGCCAGAAAGCCCAUCAACUUCACUUGCUGCGGUCUGCAAGAAGGAAAUCAGAGGCUGCUUCUGGAAGUCGGAACCUUCAUCCGAAGGGGAGGAUGAAUCUUUGUGCUGAUGUCUGGUUUUGUAUCUGAGAAGGCUUGUUUGGGUGUGCCUGCUCAUGGACGCAGUCAGCUGCUGCGGGAGGAUAAACACAUAAAUGUUUCAUCUCCUCGAUUUGCCACCAACCAUUGUGCUGGGUGCUAGCAGAUUUUUUUAAUUAAAUAUAAUUUAUCUAAUCCUAGUGAGAAACAUAAUUACAGGAUUUAUUUUGUAUAUGGCGACUUUAGAAUUACUUAAUAAAGAAGAGUAACAUUUCCCCCUCAAGGGCUGUUUAAAAACGAACAAACAAAAUCAAAAAACAAACUGCACUUCGCUAAAAGUAAUAAAUCUCAGGCAGGAAGCAAGAAAAAAAGGCAUCUAAUAUGUUGGAGCUGCAAUAAAGCUGAAAAUUAAUAAUCGGUAAGUUAGAGCUGCAAGAGAGCAAAUGCAUUAUGGAUUUGAGGAAAUGCCUAUAGCUUAUUGAAUGGCAGCAAAGUUUUGCAUAAGCAGGAGAAAACCCUGCUCAGAAAACGUAAAACUGCGAUCUGCAGCCUGAAGAUCCAGUGCCACAGAGGAUGUGGAGCCGUGUGCACGGCUGAAAUGUAAGAAGGUACUUUGCAAGAUCAGGGGCUGAAAUUGCAUGCUAAACUUCUUUAGUUUCUGCUCAGGGGGGUUUAAGCAUUGCAGGAAGGCACGGCUGUAGUCUCAGGGCGAGAUUUAGUGUACUGUGAAACGCUCACAUGGAAAGGUUUGUAUGGCUGUUUAAAAUAAUUUAAAACAAAUAGCAGCCCUCCACCCUCCCGUCCUCUCUCACGGUUUUCUUUCCCCCCUAAAACCGAAAGGUAAGGCUACUACUUGAGUUGUAAUGGAAUAAUAUAUCAAGUGAGUGAUCACAUCAGGCAUGGACACUUACCAAAUCACAGUGAGAUAACUGUGAAUAACUCUCUAGUUUCAACAAUUUGCAUGGCCAUUAACAAUUGAUGGGUUUCCCUUAGAACCGCAUUAUCUGUGGCAGCAGGAUCUAUUCCCGCGUACCGCUCCUGCAUGCUAAGUGCCAGAGAAUUUCUCAAAAGUAGGGGUAAUAAAAAUCUGAUGGCAGCAAGGUGAGCGGAACAGGUAGGGAUUUAGAGGUGACAUUUUCUUGCAGGUGGGGAAGUAUUUCAGGCAAUUGUUCAUUUCACUCUCUCCCUUCCCCAGCUGCUUUUUCAAACACAGCUCUGCAAAUCUUCGUGCAGGCUUCUGUGAGCUUUCCCUUGACUGCUUGGCAUGUUCUCGGGCUGCAUGGCUGGCUGUGGCACGUGGACCAGUUUAAGACACGUUUUAAAAAACAUUUUGGUUUAGGUUUGGAUUGGCCACGUGUCUCAAGCAGCUUUUAUGCAUAUUUGACAAAAAGAUGAAAAUGGGGUAAAUUUAGCAGUGCUGGGUUGCUAGAUGGCUCUUUUAUGGGAGCGCUUUUGAGGAGGUGUCCAAAAUGUGUUUUCCUUGUGAGAAUCGUGCCACCGUUUCAGUGAGCACACAGCGAGCCCCGCGCUUUGUGCUUUCACCUCCGGCUUGCAGUAUGUCAGCUCUUGUCGGAUCCCUCUGUCAAGUUGACUUCUGCAACCCCAAAUCUCGUCUCUUCUCUCUUUUUCCUUCUCUUGAGCACAUUCUUCCUGCUCCCCCCUUACUUUUCACAGCUGUUGAUGCAAGAGCAGAGAACGAAGUGGUGGAGGGGAAGCAUGAGCCGUCGCAGCGGGUGAGCUGCUGGGGCUCAUGGAGGAGGUCAGGGAUGUACCAGAGCCCGUGGUGCAGGCACAAACAAUGAAGUCUAAGAUGUGUUCCAUAGAAAAUGCCUUCUGCAGGUGUGCCACGUUGCAGUGCUGCACAGGAGGUGCUCAUUCCCCUUGCAGUGGAGAAAACCAUGGAGAAAACCACAGCUCUCUGAGGGGCUUCGUUAAACUCCGUGUGCGUCUCUUGAUGCAGAGCUCCCGAUG